CCUCCAGCGAUUCUAAUGCAAGUUCAAGUUUGAGAACCAAUGUUCUAGAGCCUUGCUCCUCCAAGUAUAGGCCACUGGAAGCUUACUACAUGCAUGGAAUCCCAGGCCGCCCCUCAGGACUGUUGAAUCAGAACUGCAGUUUAACAAGAUCCCCAGGUGAUGGGUGUGUACAUUUAAGUUUGGGAAGCCUGGUGAUUUUCAGGUGAGAAGUCUAAACUUUUUAAAGACAACAAUGGGAAGCAGCUGAAAGUUAUAAAGUGGUGGUAUAACUGAUGAGCGCCCCAGGAAGAACCAGUGGCUAACUGAAUGUAAGAUGGAUUGAAUAAAACAGAUCCUGUACAAUACACCUUAAAAAUGGAUCCUGCACGACGAUCCUAGAAAGAAGUCCCAGAGAAAAUCCCCUUGCCACUUACACUUCCAGGACCUUCUUCUCCUAUUCUUUCCUUCUUCGAGGCUCCAGGAGAGAACAGUGCACUGGGGCCUCUUGCCUCGCUGCUUGGAGCUCCUUUGACGGUGGAAUCUUGCCAGCCAUUGAUCCAACACUGGGAGUUAUCGCGGCAGUGCAACUGCAGUCAGGCCUCAGCUCCAGCUUGUAU
rnacentral:lncRNA from 1 species